rnacentral:rRNA from 1 species
GUCUGCAUGGAGCCGACCUUGAAAUACCACCCUUUAAUGUUUGAUGUUCUAACGUGGACCCGUGAUCCGGGUUGCGGACAGUGUCUGGUGGGUAGUUUGACUGGGGCGGUCUCCUCCUAAAGAGUAACGGAGGAGCACGAAGGUUGGCUAAUCCUGGUCGGACAUCAGGAGGUUAGUGCAAUGGCAUAAGCCAGCUUGACUGCGAGCGUGACGGCGCGAGCAGGUGCGAAAGCAGGUCAUAGUGAUCCGGUGGUUCUGAAUGGAAGGGCCAUCGCUCAACGGAUAAAAGGUACUCCGGGGAUAACAGGCUGAUACCGCCCAAGAGUUCAUAUCGACGGCGGUGUUUGGCACCUCGAUGUCGGCUCAUCACAUCCUGGGGCUGAAGUAGGUCCCAAGGGUAUGGCUGUUCGCCAUUUAAAGUGGUACGCGAGCUGGGUUUAGAACGUCGUGAGACAGUUCGGUCCCUAUCUGCCGUGGGCGCUGGAGAACUGAGGGGGGCUGCUCCUAGUACGAGAGGACCGGAGUGGACGCAUCACUGGUGUUCGGGUUGUCAUGCCAAUGGCACUGCCCGGUAGCUAAAUGCGGAAGAGAUAAGUGCUGAAAGCAUCUAAGCACGAAACUUGCCCCGAGAUGAGUUCUCCCUGAGACUUAAAGUCUCCUGAAGGAACGUUGAAGACGACGACGUUGAUAGGCCGGGUGUGUAAGCGCAGCGAUGCGUUGAGCUAACCGGUACUAAUGAACCGUGAGGCUUAACCUUACAACGCCGAAG